rnacentral:rRNA from 1 species
CCUACGGGUGGCUGCAGUGGGGAAUAUUGGACAAUGGGGGCAACCCUGAUCCAGCCAUGCCGCGUGUGUGAAGAAGGCCCUCGGGUUGUAAAGCACUUUCAGUGAGGAAGAACGCCUGGUGGUUAAUACCCAUCAGGAAAGACAUCACUCACAGAAGAAGCACCGGCUAACUCCGUGCCAGCAGCCGCGGUAAUACGGAGGGUGCGAGCGUUAAUCGGAAUUACUGGGCGUAAAGCGCGCGUAGGUGGCUUGAUAAGCCGGUUGUGAAAGCCCCGGGCUCAACCUGGGAACGGCAUCCGGAACUGUCAAGCUAGAGUGCAGGAGAGGAAGGUAGAAUUCCCGGUGUAGCGGUGAAAUGCGUAGAGAUCCGGAGGAAUACCAGUGGCGAAGGCGGCCUUCUGGACUGACACUGACACUGAGGUGCGAAAGCGUGGGUAGCAAACAGGAUUAGAUACCCUAGUAGUC